AACGAACGCUGGCGGCAUGCCUAACACAUGCAAGUCGAACGAAACCUUCAGGACUAGUGGCGCACGGGGGCGUCACGCGUGGGAACCUUCCCUUAGGUUCGGAAUAACUCCCCGACAGGGGUGAUAAUCCCGGAUCAUGUCUUAGGACCAAAGAUUUAUCGCCUUUGGAUGGUCCCGCGUUGGAUUCGCUGGUUGUUAGGGUAAAAGCCUCUCAAGGCGACGAUGCAUAGGUGGGCUGAGAGGAUGGUCAGCCACACUGGGACGGAGACCCGGCCCGGACUCUUACGCGAGGGAGCAGUGGGGAAUAUUGGACAACGGGGGAAAGCAUGAUGCAGCAAGGAUGGGUGAGUGAUGAAAGUAGGAGGGUAGUAAAGCGCUUUUACCCGUGAUGAUAAUGACGGUACCGGGAGAAUAAGCGCCGGCUAACUCCGUG
rnacentral:rRNA from 1 species